UCUCCCCAGUACGUCCAAGGCGUUGCAAUCCAAACAAUCAACGAAUGUUCCAACAAGGAACGGAUAUUAAUCCAGACUGCAUAAGGAAGUAUCAAAUACAUAAUCUACUUGCUGUUACAAGCAUUCAGUUAAACACAUCUCAGUACACCUCAAAUCAGUUUACAUUUUACUUCCGAUUACAAUCACAAUGUAUUACAUCUUUUAUUUUACAAGUUGAUACAUCU
rnacentral:lncRNA from 1 species